UACAGAGGGUGCAAGCGUUAAUCGGAAUUACUGGGCGUAAAGCGUGCGUAGUCGGUUAUUUAAGUCGGGCGUGAAAGCCCCGGGCUCAACCUGGGAAUUGCGUUCGAUACUGGAUAGCUAGAGUUCGGCAGAGGGAAGCGGAAUUUCUGGUGUAGCGGUGAAAUGCGUAGAUAUCAGAAGGAACAUCAAUGGCGAAAGCGGCUUCCUGGACCAGAACUGACGAUCAGGCACGAAAGCGUGGGGAGCAAACAGG
rnacentral:rRNA from 1 species